rnacentral:rRNA from 1 species
GACGAACGCUGGCGGCGUGCCUAAUACAUGCAAGUAGGACGCAGUUGCGAACGGGUGAGUAACGCGUAGGUAACUGCCUAUUAGAGGGGGAUAACUAUUGGAAACGAUAGCUAAUACCGCAUACUAGUAGAUGGACCUGCGUUGUAUUAGCUAGUAGGUAGGGUAAGGGCCUACCUAGGCGACGAUACAUAGCCGGCCUGAUAUGGUGAUCGGCCACACUGGGACUGAGACACGGCCCAGACUCCUACGGGAUGCAGCAGUAGGGAAUUUUCGGCAAUGGGGGGAACCCUGACCGAGCAACGCCGCGUGAGUGAAGAAGGUUUUAGGAUCGUAAAGCUCUGUUGUUAAGGAAGCGGUACUUGACCAGAAAGGGACGGCUAACUACGUGCCAGCAGCCGCGGUAAUUC